CCCCUUUCAGGGUUGCACCUGGAGAGUUUGCAGUCCUCUACCAGUCUCAGCUACAGGAGGGAGAGUCAAGCAGAGGCCUAUUCCUUCCAUUCCUAGCUUGGCCAGUGGCUAGCGAGCGGAAGGCAAUCUGCUACAAGU